GGUCCCGCCUGCCCUGUGACCCCUGGUUCAACGGCCGCGGUAUUUUGACCGUGCAAAGGUAGCGCAAUCACUUGUCUCUUAAAUGAGGACCUGUAUGAAUGGCAUAACGAGGGCUUAACUGUCUCCUUUCCCCGGUCAAUGAAAUUGAUCUUCCCGUGCAGAAGCGGGAAUUCUAACAUAAGACGAGAAGACCCUAUGGAGCUUUAGACUCUAGAACAGAUCAUGUAAGCUACCCCAGUGAAAUAGGUAAUAACUAUUGAAUUCCUGUUCCCCUGUCUUCGGUUGGGGCGACCACGGGGAAUAAAAAAACCCCCAUGUGGACCAGGAGCACAUUACUCCUACAACCAUGAGCCACAGCUCUAAUGCACAAAACAUUUGACCAUUAGAUCCGGCAAAGCCGAUCAACGGACCAAGUUACCCUAGGGAUAACAGCGCAAUCCCCUUUAAGAGUCCAUAUCGACAAGGGGGUUUACGACCUCGAUGUUGGAUCAAGACAUCCUAAUGGUGCAGCCGCUAUUAAGGGUUCGUUUGUUCAACGAUUAAAGUCUU
rnacentral:rRNA from 1 species